GCCAGGUGGGGUGGCGCGUGCCUGUAGUCCCAGCUACUCGGGAGGCUGAGGUGGGAGGAUUGCUUGAGCCCAGGAGUUCUGGGCUGUAGUAUGCUAUGCCGAUCGGGUGUCCACACUAAGUUCAGCAUAAAAAUACGAUGAACUCCCGGGAGCGGGAGACCACCAGGUUGCCUAAGGAGGGGUGAACCGGCCCAGGUCGGAAACGAGCAGGUCAAAACUUCCAUGCUGAUCAGUAGUGGGAUCGCGCCUGUGAAUAGCCACUGUACUCCAGCCAGGGCAAUAUAGCAAGACCCAUCUCUA
ensembl:misc_RNA Metazoa_SRP Metazoan signal recognition particle RNA